rnacentral:rRNA from 1 species
GUUUCAUGUGAACUAAACUAAUCGCAUGGCCUUGCGCCGGCGAGUGUUCAUGGGAAGUUCUGCCCUAGCACCUUUGCAGGGGCAGGGAGAUGCGUACAGUGGUCUUAACGGGUAACGGGGGAUUAGGGGUCUAUUCCGGAGAGGGAGCCUGAAAAACGGCUACCACAUCCAAGGAAGGCAGCAGGCGCGCAAAUUACCCAAUGCUAAUUCAGCGAGGUAGUGACAAUAAAUACUGAUACGGGGCUCUUUCGGGUCUCGUAAUUGGAAUGAGUACAAUCUAAAUCCCUUAACGAGGAACAAUUGGAGGGCAAGUCUGGUGCCAGCAGCCGCGGUAAUUCCAGCUCCAAUAGCGUAUAUUAAAGUUGUUGCCGUUAAAAAGCUCGUAGUUGAACCUUGGAUCUGGCUGAUCUGUCCUCCUAAUCGAGCGCACGGAUUCGGUCGGAUCUUUCCUUCUGGGGAACCCUAUGCCCUUCACUGGGUGUAGUGGGGAACCAGGACUUUUAC